rnacentral:lncRNA from 1 species
AACCUCAGGUGAUCUACCUGCCUUGGCCUCCCAAAGUGCUGGGAUUACAGGCAUGAGCCACCGUGCCUGGCCUUUUUUUUUUUUUUUUUUUUGAGAUGGCAUCUCACUUUGUCACCCAGGCUGGAGUGCAGUGGCACCAUCAUGGCUCACUGCAGCAUUGAACUCCUGGGCUCCAGCAAUCCUCCCACCUCAGCCUCUUGAGUAGCUGGGAUCACAGGCAUGUGCCACCAUGCCUAGCUAAUUUUUGUAUUUUUUUUUGUAGAGACAGGGUCUCAUUAUGUUGCCCAGGCUGGUCUCAAACUCCUGGGCUCAAGCAAUCCUCCUGCCUCAACCUCCCAAAAUACUGGGAUUACACGUGUAAACCACCACAUCCAGCCCUGAUCUCAUUCUUCAGAGAAUUUACCUAGCUGGUCACUUGGUGUCUGUAGGAGCAUCGCCUCUCAGGCCUGCCUCAAAACUGCAUUUCAGUUGGGAGUGGGGCGGGGGGAGGGAGAGUGUAGUUUGGGGACCAUGUAUGCAAUAGGUUAUACCUGCUUGGUUAUAUAGGAGGACGAAAUGUAUUUCUCUUUGUAAUCUCUUUUGUGGAUUGCCUGUGAUGCCCACUGCAGUCUGGUUUAACGCUUAUUUAAUAAUAAAACUGUUUUCUCUUCUACUUUUGUGGAAAGGUUUUCUGGAUUAGAUCUUUAAUUUUGUCUCCAGCAUCUUCAAAUGUCUUUCUACAGAGGGUUGGUUAAAUAAAUGUGGCAUCUCCACAAAAGAGAAUACUGCACAGUCAUGGCAAAAAAACAAGGAGCCUGUUUUCGUUGUUGAAUGAAAAGUGCAAGGUGCACAACAGUUUACUACUUUUUCUGUAAAAAAAGAGGUCUGAGAAGGCUGUAUUUGCCAUUUGUAUAAUCUCUGGAAGGGUAAACAGCGACUGAUAAAAGUGCUCGUGUGUGUGUGUGUGUGUGUGUGUGUGUGUGUGUUAAGAGAAACUGGGCAGAUGAGGGAGAGGAAAGGGAUGAAAACCUUUCUCUGUACACCUUAUAUUUUCUGAUUUUUUGAAACACGUGACUGUAUUACCUAUUCACAGUAAGUUAACAGGGAUGGGAAGCAUGGUGGUGGCAAGCAAACGAAACCUCUAAAAAGAAGUCCCAGGGGCCGGGCGCAGUGGCUAACUCUUAUGAUCUUAGCGCUUUGAGAGGCCAAGGUGUGAGCCACUGUGCCAUGCCUGAACUUCUCCUUUGAAGGAAGAUCUGAGUGUAAAAGCAGGGAAUGCCUUUAUUUAAAAAAAUGAAAAACAGAAACUAAAACAAAAUAACAAUCACCUCUGUUG